rnacentral:lncRNA from 1 species
CAUGUAUCAGCAAGGCUACUGUAAUGCACAAAAUAUAUGUACCAGCUUGGGACAUGCCUGUAGUUGGUUAAAGAAUCAAUCUAUUCUGAAUAGACAAUUAAAAACCUACAAUUUUGUUUCAAUUACUGUAAGCUGUUGUCUACCAAGGUGAAAGAAAUCAAUGAGGAUUUUCUCUAAAAUUAAAUUUUGACCAUAAUUCAUUCAUAAGUUAUUUUAGCAAAUCAUGUCAACCAUAAUAUGGUACAUGAAAUGGUUUCAUAAUCAUACCCGAUGAAACUAAACAUCAUUCUAACUAGUAUUCUGUUCAUACAAACAUGAUGCAUGGUAUCUGGGGGUAGGGAUAGAACCUGCCAGAUAUGGUAGGGUAUGUGUGUGCGCAUUGAUCUAUGGUCAUGAUUUGGAGUGCAACCUGUUGGCCAAGUUCAUAAUCAUUUGAAGCUAUGAACAACAGUGUUCCGUAGAAUGGGUGAAACAUUGCCCUGGAAUGGGCUGGAAGGGUCCAGGGUGAAUUAUUGUGGUAACAUUUAGUGACAAGAUAUUGCCCUUCCAAAUUGAAAUAAUGGGUUUGAUAUUAAAUUUGGCAUCCCCCUUUCACCCACCCCUCUUUGGGAGUGUGCACCCCUCAGUAAAUCUAUCCCUGUCUGGGGGUAUGUAGCCCAUCCACUUUGUCAUCCACCACACAGUAAUACAAAGUCUAGGAUACAGUAUUUAUAUAUUUACUCCUCUAUUUAUUGCAUACGUUUCAGUAAAAUGCUCUGUGUAUUCAUGGACAAGGUUGGCAUUGGUUAUCAUGGCUUUCAUAAGUUUUCGCUUAUGAAACUAUUUCAUAAUUAAAAUAGUAGACUUUAGUAUACCUAAUUGGGUGUAAUAUUUAAAGCACGUUUAGGAGUGUAUGCUGUAAUUCAAAUAAUACUUUACAUGCCAUCUCAUUAGUGUUUGUAUGUAGGGUAUACUAAUUAGAGAGAUAUUUAGUUUCAUUGGGUAUGAAACCAAUUUCACGUAACAUACACGUAUUAUGGUUGACAUGAUUUGCAAAAAACUUAUGAAUUACGAGUGUUUGAAUUAUGUUUAAUAUCCUCCUUACUCCCACGCUUUAUAAUCAUAUUUCGCGUUUUAAUUUGACACCAGUUUAUCCGUACCCUUCCGUACCAGGCACCAUCAUGAUAUUUGAAAAUAUGUCAUGCACAUGCCUAUCCACGUGUCUAGUUUACACCAAUAAGAGGGUGCGAAAUUUUGGCGCAAAGUACAUGGAUCUAAACUAAAAGACAGUUGAUAAUUGUGCUCUAUCUCGCUCGAAGCAGUUCGGUACUGAAGUACAUAAACAUUCUCCGCUUUGCGUCUGGGAUAUCCUCAAAGGUCAAAGUGAAAGCUACUAUGUUACGCGAACUGUAUCAAGAUUCAGUACGAUUGUAGAAGGUAAGCUCAAUUAUGCUUUUAAUAUAAAUAUGUAUUCGUGUUUACCCAUACACUUGGCUCUAAGAUAUCAUGUCUUAAAUCGUUAAAUCGUAGAACCAUUUUGUUCUGUUGUCUAACUUUGUCCACUGUUUAUGUUGCUCUUCCUAUUAUUGGAUCUAUUAAAAGUACAUGGUAAUUGCAGUCUGCGUUCUUGUUCAAACUAAAUAAAAUAUAAUUGCAAAAUAUCUUGGUGCGCAUUCACGCAAUUAUUCGCGCAAUUAAAUGAUAUAUUUAUUGUUCAUAUAACCAAUUGCCGCGUACUACACUAAUUAUCGUAUGUUUAUUGCGUUAUUUACAGGGUGCGCAAAUAUAAAUUGCUGAAUGAUAUACUGUAUAUUCUACACAGAAUGCAUGUAAGUAAAUCGGCCUCAUUUGGCGCUCGUUCAACUUGCAUCAGUGGAAAUUUGUUUCACGCCUUUAUCACUGGUACAUCAUUUAAUUCUUGUAGGAGCUAUAGUGUACACCAAAGCUUGCGUCAAACACGUUACGAAAUCUUUCUCGUAUUCAACAAGCAAACGUGGUCGUUGUGCAAAGGCUUUUUUGUGUAUUAUGUACAGUAUUAUCUGGGUGUCAAAGGAAUUUGAGCUUGCCUUUUAGUUUAGUUUAGGUAUGCCAAAUAUGUUGCGUGCUUGCCUGAAGGUCACGGUCACACUAAAAAACGUACAUGUUGCUUGCUAUAUUUUGCAAUAAUUUUAUAUAUGUACUGUCUAUGCAGAAAGCGGCUUUAUACAGUACUCGCUGUAUAUCGAUUAUUAACGAUUCAGCCAGAUGUAGAAAUAGGCUCGAUAACUAAAAAAAUCGUAAGUCAACAAUAUGUCAAUAUACAGUACUUGAACAGAAUUCGUUGAUUGCAUGCCAUACCAACUAAAUUUUGUUAUUGUAUUCGGUUGCAUGUGCGCAUUUUGGGUUCAAGCAAGCAUUCUAGCAUAACUGUCACCGCGAGUCUGCGACCUUACAAAGUAAUUAAAGAUUAUAGAUUCAAUACCUUCGCUUCAAAGCAUGUCCCCUGGAUUUUCUAGCAAGUGGACAAAUUCCCCCCUGGAAAGUGACUCAUAACAAAUUUCAUUCCCUAUCUGCCCCCAACUCAUUAAAGUUCAACAAUUAUAGCUAAAAAUACAAUCUAAUUUCAGGAAUGAUGAAAGUUUUUCCCAAGACAAACAUAUUAAAUGAGGAAAAGAGUCCCAAAGAUAAAAAUCUGGUGUUCAUAUAAGGUAUAUGUUAAGUUUAUCAUUUACAGUAUUCAAAUAAAUAUUAAUAAAAUUAAUCCAGGUAUAUCAAUAAUAAUUAAUUAAGUGGAUCCCUAAAAACCCAACAUUCAUGAAGUCCAAAAGAUCACCUCUGGAACUGCCAACAUAUAUGGGAAAGAGUUUAAAAUCAGACAUUCACUUAUCACAAGUAUCUACAGUAUAGUAUACUGUAGGUUAGACCUGCCAUUUUUAUAAUAGUAUAAUAAGAAUUAAUAAAAAUAAAAUAUAUUAACAUAAAAUAGAUAAUAUUUUUCCAUUUUAAACCUUAUUGCUAAGUGUUAUCUCUCUCUCUGUUCUCUACGACCAUACUAAUUGGCAUGGAUUUUGAUGCUGUAUAAUAACAGUUGAAUAAUAUAUAGGAUAAUAACAGUUGAUAAUAUAUAGGAUUUUGAAAUGUCUCUAUACAUGCUGAAGUUUUGAGUUGGCACGACUAGAAACAGAACGUGAGGCGGCACGCCUUGCGAAGUAUAGGGAAAUUUUAGCAAUCUUAUGUAUUAAAUAUGCAUGUAUAUUGACUGGCGUACAUCAAGUUUUGUUGCCAUGCUGAAUUUUUGGGUUGGCACGACCUGAAACAGAGCGUGAGGCGGCACGCCUUGCGAAGGCAACAAUCCUUGUUAUAUGUCAAUACGUCAACAAAAAUGCAUGAUUUUGAGAUAGUUCAACAGAACUACCAUUCAAAAACCCUUUAUAUAUAUUAAAGUUUUUUCGACACGUUGGAGAGAACUGUGAGAAAUAUACCACUUAUCUGGAAUUAUAACCAUUAUACAGAUUGUUGUAGAUUAUAGUAUAUAACUAUUAAAGAUUGAUCCGCAUGUACAUGGAAAAAAGUGUGGAUUAAUUAAAUGAGAAAAAGAGUCCAAAAAUAUUUAUCUGGUGUUUAGAUAAAGUAUAUAUUUUAAGUUUAUCAUGAUAUCAGCAAAUAAAUAAAAUAAUAUUAAAUUAUUAAUAAAAUUAAUCUACAGAUAUUUAUAAUAAUUAAGUGAAUCCUUAGAAACCCAACAUUCAUAAAGUCCAAAAGAUCACCUUCUUUGGAACUGCCCACAUAUGGGAAAGAGUUUAAAAUCAGACAUUCACUUUAUUAUCUAUAGUAUAGGUUGGACCAGCCUGGUGUUAGAGGAAUUUUUAUAAUAAGAUUGUAUAGUAAGAAUUAAUAAAAAUAAAAUAUAUUAACAUAAAAUAGAUAUCUUUCAAUUUUAAACCUUAUUGCUAAGUGUUAUCUCUCUCUGUUCUCUACGACCAUACUGAUUGGCAUGGAUUUUGAUGCUGUAUAAUAACAGUUGAAGUGAAAGAUGAUAAUAUAUAGGAUUUUGAAAUGACUCUAUACAUGCUGAAGUUUUGAGUUGGCACGACUUGAAACAGAACGUGAGGCGGCACGCCUUGCGAAGUAUAGGGAAAUUUUAGCAAUCUUAUGUAUUAAAUAUGCAUGUAUAUUGACUGGCGUACAUCAAGUUUUGUUGCCAUGCUGAAUUUUUGGGUUGGCACGACCUGAAACAGAGCGUGAGGCGGCACGCCUUGCGAAGGCAACAAUCCUUGUUAUAUGUCAAUACGUCAACAAAAAUGCAUGAUUUUGAGAUAGUUCAACAGAACUACCAUUCAAAAACCCUUUAUAUAUAUUAAAGUUUUUUCGACACGUUGGAGAGAACUGCGAGAAAUAUACCACUUAUCUGGAAUUAUAACCAUUAUACAGAUUGUUGUAGAUUAUAGUAUAUAACUAUUAAAGAUUGAUCCGCAUGUACAUGGAAAAAAGUGUGGAUUAAUUAAAUGAGAAAAAGAGUCCAAAAAUAUUUAUCUGGUGUUUAGAUAAAGUAUAUAUUUUAAGUUUAUCAUGAUAUCAGCAAAUAAAUAAAAUAAUAUUAAAUUAUUAAUAAAAUUAAUCUACAGAUAUUUAUAAUAAUUAAGUGAAUCCUUAGAAACCCAACAUUCAUAAAGUCCAAAAGAUCACCUUCUUUGGAACUGCCCACAUAUGGGAAAGAGUUUAAAAUCAGACAUUCACUUUAUUAUCUAUAGUAUAGGUUGGACCAGCCUGGUGUUAGAGGAAUUUUUAUAAUAAGAUCGUAUAGUAAGAAUUAAUAAAAAUAAAAUAUAUUAACAUAAAAUAGAUAUCUUUCAAUUUUAAACCUUAUUGCUAAGUGUUAUCUCUCUCUGUUCUCUACGACCAUACUGAUUGGCAUGGAUUUUGAUGCUGUAUAAUAACAGUUGAAGUGAAAGAUGAUAAUAUAUAGGAUUUUGAAAUGACUCUAUACAUGCUGAAGUUUUGAGUUGGCACGACUUGAAACAGAACGUGAGGCGGCACGCCUUGCGAAGUAUAGGGAAAUUUUAGCGAUCUUAUGUAUUAAAUAUGCAUGUAUAUUGACUGGCGUACAUCAAGUUUUGUUGCCAUGCUGAAUUUUUGGGUUGGCACGACCUGAAACAGAGCGUGAGGCGGCACGCCUUGCGAAGGCGACAAUCCUUGUUAUAUGUCAAUACGUCAACAAAAAUGCAUGAUUUUAAGAUAGUUCAACAGAACUACCAUUCAAAAACCCUUUAUAUAUAUUAAAGUUUUUUCGACACGUUGGAGAGAACUGCAAGAAAUAUACCACUUAUCCGGAAUUAUAACCAUUAUACAGAUUGUUGUAGAUUAUAUAGUAUAUAACUAUUAAAGAUUGAUCCCCAUACAUGGAAAAAGUGUGGAUUAAUUAAAUUAGGAAAAGAGUCCAAAAAUAUAAAUCUGGUGUUUAGGUAAGGUAUAUAUUUUAAGUUUAUCAUGCUAUCAGCAAAUAAAUAAAAUAAUAUUAAAUUAUUAAUAAAAUUAGUCUACAGAUAUUAAUAAUAAUUAAGUGAAUCCCUAAAAACCCAACAUUCAUGAAGUACCUUCUUUGGAACUGCCCACAUAUGGAAAGAGUUUAAAAUCAGACAUUCACUUUAGUAUCUAUAGUAUAUAAUAGGAUGGACCCGCCUGGUGUUAGAUGAAUUUUUAUAAUAAGAUUGUAUAAUAAGAAUUAAUAUUUUAAAUAAAAUAUAUUAACAUAAAUAGAUAAUAUUUUUCAAUUUUAGACCUUAUUACUAAGUGUUGUCUCUCUCUGUUCUCUAUGCCCAUGUAUACUAUGAACUAUACUAUAUAUAUAUAUAUAUAUAUAUAUAUAUAUAUAUAUAUAUAUAUAUAUAUAUAUAUAUAUAUAUAUAUAUAUAUAUAUAUAUAUAUAUCGCUCUAUGGCCUUUAGGUCAUAUCGAGCGCUCUACAGGAUGAGCCAUGCCGCUUACGCAUUGCGCACGCUCACUGCUUGCAGUUUGAGCGCUCUGGCAUGGUUUUGAUGUCCCACAAUCGUGAGGCAUCAAAGGCAACUAUAAAUAAGAGUUACUUUCAUCCUGCUCAUCAGCACUACACUGAUGAGGCCCAUUAGGCCGAAACGNNNNNNNNNNNNNNNNNNNNUGCCCACAUAUGGAAAGAGUUUAAAAUCAGACAUUCACUUUAGUAUCUAUAGUAUAUAAUAGGAUGGACCCGCCUGGUGUUAGAUGAAUUUUUAUAAUAAGAUUGUAUAAUAAAAAUAUAAUUUAAAUAAAAUAUAUUAACAUAAAUAGAUAAUAUUUUUCAGUUUUAGACCUUAUUACUAAGUGUUGUGUCUCUCUGUUCUCUAUGCCCAUGUAUACUAUGAACUAUACUAUACUAUAUAUAUAUAUAUAUAUAUAUAUAUAUAUAGUGUAGAACUGCUCUUAGUACUCUGAUGAAGGUUGCAGUUAGCAACCGAAAAUUUAGAACUUUUUUAGACUUUUUAUUGUACAUAUUCUAGUAUUUUAAAAAGAAUUUUAGACCAGCUUCAACUCCAAAACUAUCAUAUAUAUAUAUAUAUAUAUAUAUAUAUAUAUAUAUAUAUAUAUAAUAUACCGCUAAUUACCAGAAAUUAUAACCAUUAUUCAGAUUGGUGUAGAUUAUAGUAUAUAACUAUUAAAGGUCGAUCCCCAUACAGUGGAAAAAGUGUAUGCAAACCGCUCACAGUCUGAUGAAUCCCCCCAUGCAUACGUGCAUUAUUAUCAUGACAUGAACUCAAUGACAAUGCAUUUGAUGUUAUUUUUAUCUUAUGUAUAAGGCCUACGUGCAGCUUGGGAAACACUAUAUACAACUGCUUCGAAUCAGUCAGCUGAAGGAUGGGGUUAUUGAAUAUCGAACAGUAAGUAUAUAUAACUAGUGCUUUAAUUACACGCCCCAAACCUCGGUAAAGCAAGAAUUUACAGCUAGGUUUUGUUAUCUGGUGUGAUAACGUUUUUACGCCUGAAUUUUGCAUAAGGGUUUUGUCUUCUUAAAUGUUUCGUUUUAUAUGAACAUUGCCAAAAUGAUAUUAAUUUGAAUAGCAGUGCCCAGUUCACAAAAUCCGAAAGAUCACCAAACCAAAGCAUAGAUACAAAAAUCUUCAAAAUUUAGAAGUAUAAGAGUACAUUCGUGCAAGAAAAUAACAAUUUUACCCUCUGCCUUUUAUAGAAAUAUUGGAAUUGCAAACUUUGGUCAUGCACAUUCUCAUUUUGGUCGCUAUCCAGAUUGAUGAUUGAAGACCCUUGCAGUAUAUAUACAGUACUUAAAAUCCAGGAGCAAGAAUAUCUAUAUAUACAGCGUGUCAUAUAAAACAUGCAUGCAUUGUGCUUUCCCCGUGAUUAAGCCUAUAAUUUUAACUUGUGUAUAUCUGUAACUGUGUAUAAAAACAAGAUGAAACAAAUGCUUUGUGAAACGUGACUAAUAAAA